UCUCGGUCGAGCCUUGGGAGUAAAACCCUAGGAGAUUUUUCAAGCUUUACGUCCUCUCUGCUUUAACUCUGCGACGAAUUUUGCUUUCGUUUUCCUUCUGUUACUUCCUCACUCUUCGUUCUUCGUUGGCGUGUAGAACGAAGAAGUGCUGGUAAAGUGGCGUCUUGAUGCGUAUGUACGGAGUAUAUACGUUUCAUGAUGGAAUGCUUCCUAAGGCCAGCCAAAUCGAAUGCUCGAUCAUCUGACCAGUUCGUACUUGGAAGGGAUUGGGCUGGUGAUGUGGUGUGGAGGACGGAGGAUUCAUUCCUUUUCUGUGUGUGGUCUUCUAUGGUUUCUCUACACCUCCCAUAACCAGCUAAAGCGAAUUUACAAGCCUUACCCCUAUCCCGGAUGAUGCCCCUCCGAAAAGGCGUCGUCCCUGUCAAGACUUGGAUACCAAUUAUUUUUUUUCAAGGUUGCAAUUUUGCGUCUCUUUUAAGCUAAUUUCUGUGUGUAUUGCUCCAUCUCUUCUAUUUGAAUAUUCAGUGAUAUUUAGGUCGGCGAUCCAGACAUUAGUCAGGUAUCCACCCUAGAUCUAUAUGAUCCAAAUGGUUGAUACAGUUACGCGUCUGGUAAAUCAACGGUGUCCAUCGUUGCAGGCGAGUUAAUGCUUCUACGCUCUCGCCUGCUCCAUUUGGGCUCCACAUUUAAAUUCCACUGUAACAACCGAAUCACACUUCCUGGAGGUGAAACCCGAUGAAGGGAGGUAUUCGGUAUUGAUCUUGUUUCUUUGUUCUAAAGCUGAGCUUGGUUGCGAUUCAAAUAAAUUUGCAUUGAUGCAAAA